rnacentral:ncRNA from 1 species
GUGUUGAUACGAGUCGAGAGAAAGUUAGCAAUCCCCUCGAUAAGGACGGAAGUGGCACAACAGUGCCUUUAAUAACACUUGUGUUAAGACAUUAGCUACUCCUCUAUGAGGGUGGCAUCUUAGCAGUUUUUUUGU